GAUGAACGCUGGCGGCGUGCCUAAUACAUGCAAGUCGAGCGAACAGACGAGGAGCUUGCUCCUCUGACGUUAGCGGCGGACGGGUGAGUAACACGUGGAUAACCUACCUAUAAGACUGGGAUAACUUCGGGAAACCGGAGCUAAUACCGGAUAAUAUAUUGAACCGCAUGGUUCAAUAGUGAAAGACGGUUUUGCUGUCACUUAUAGAUGGAUCCGCGCCGCAUUAGCUAGUUGGUAAGGUAACGGCUUACCAAGGCAACGAUGCGUAGCCGACCUGAGAGGGUGAUCGGCCACACUGGAACUGAGCCACGGUCCAGACUCCUACGGGAGGCGGCAGUAGGGAAUCUUCCGCAAUGGGCGAAAGCCUGACGGAGCAACGCCGCGUGAGUGAUGAAGGUCUUCGGAUCGUAAAACUCUGUUAUUAGGGAAGAACAAAUGUGUAAGUAACUAUGCACGUCUUGACGGUACCUAAUCAGAAAGCCACGGCUAACUACGUG
rnacentral:rRNA from 1 species